GCCUUCCUCUUCGAGAUUGUUCUUCAACAGAGGGGCGCUACAGAUUUCGACGCAUUCAGUAUCAUAAAUCUAUCUCUUCGACCUUACACGUUCUCUGACAACGAGACCAUUCCUCUUCCUAUAAAGCUUUCUCAAGGCUCCUUUAUAUAGAGGUCUUCUAAGGUUAGCUCUCAUUUGCAUCUCAAUUUCUCUCCUCCACUUUCUUCCCUUUGUUUAACUCUUUAACCUCCGUGUGAUCGAGUUUGAGAAAUUCACGGUGCGGCGUUACGAUCACCUUCAUGUGAUUGCGAACACGAACCUCAAGCUUACAGGGGUCCAAUAUCAGGAACAAUGCAGCAACCACCAGAGUUGUGGUCCGACUCUUAAUCGUUGGUUCUUCUCCGCUAGGUAGAAGAUGACGUAAGUUGGAAUUUAUAUGGGGAACGCCUCUGCUUGAAGUGGAGGGGGAAGUUUCAGUUUAUUUAUAUUUAUUUUGGAGAAUAUUCAAUUGUGUUCUAAUUAAACGAAUCUAAAACCUUUUAACAUUGUUUUUAGUUGACCAAAAAAAAUACAGUCGUGUUAUCUC